UCAAAGCCCAAAACAGUGUCUUAUGUCGUCUUCUCAUCCAAACCCUAACUUCUAAAUUGUUUCUUCUCACAUCCAAACCCUAAAUUCCAAAUUGUUUCUUCUCACAUGCAACAAAGAAGACUAAGUUAAUCAAAGGGUCAAUCCUCUCUAUUUUCGUCUUUCAUAUAUUUCAAAAGAGAGUCGAUUUUCAUAAGCUGCAAGGAAGUCUGAAAAGCGAAAUCAUUAUGUUGUUGUCUCUGUCUCUUGCCAUCUAAGAUCUAUAAGGGUUUAUGCACUAUCAUGGUCUGUCUACUGAAGGGACAAUUUUUGCUUUUUCUAUUGUAGGGACAAUUGAAAUUAAGGCUAGGAUUGCCUAUCCAAAUGAAGUUGAGAGCUAAAGCACAAAUAUAACUAUCUUUAUAUUUUUGUUUCAUGAUUUUGUUGACUCUAGCAUUAUGUAUAUAGAAGUACAACAAACCUUAAGCAAAAAGAAUUGGUUAGAAUUUCAUGAUUUUGUAUAUUUAACUUUAUAUUACAGUGGAAUUUCUUUAUGUAAAUUUAUCAUUAUUUUAA